AAACAGGAUCCCCUAGUAACUGCGAAUGAACAGGGAUUAGCCCAGCACCGAAACCUGUGGUUAUUUGACUGCAAGGCAAUGUGGUGUUUAGGUUUGUUCUUGGCAUUACUGCUCUGCCCCAAGUCCAGCAAUGAGUACGGCAUACCGUUCUGGCCCAUAGAGGGUGAAAGGCCCGUGGGGGUAGAGACCAAGCAUGACAGUUUUGUCCAGAGCUUACCUUGGAGUCGGGUUGUUUGAGAAUGCAGCCCAAAGUGGGUGGUAAACUCCAUCCAAGGCUAAAUACUUGCACGAGUCCGAUAGUAAACAAGUACCGUGAGGGAAAGUUGAAAAGUACUUUGAAGAGAGAGUAAACAGUGCGUGAAACCGCUCAGAGGUAAACGGGUGGAGUUGAACUGCGAUCCUUGGGAAUUCAGCUGAUGAGCAUGAUUUGUGCUUGGGCAUAUUGACCGCCUUUCAGUGUCUGCUUAGCUGCGGGUGCCUGCCUCUGGUGGGUAUGUGUGGUGCGCUUAUCAUGUGCCGCACGCAUUGGAGGGUGUAUGAGUCUGCUUGUCGGUGCACUUUCUCAGGGUGUUCACCACGACCGGCACUGCUGUCUGUCUGCUUUGGUCAAACUGAUCAAGUCUGAUUAACGUUGAGCUUGGUUGGGUUGGCAGGUGACUCACUGGUCCAUUCUGUGGGCUAUGAGUGUUACUAGCCGGCCUUAGUGGAUCUGUACGGUGUGUCGGAGACGGCGGCUUUGCAUAUGCGCUCUGUUCUUCAGGCGUGGUUGAGUCUGGUCGACUUGUUGCUAGUUUCGGCUGGUCAGUUGAUGGCUUGAUCAUGUUCAGUUGGCAGUGGUGUGUGUGUCUUAGUUUGGGCCAAUAGUCUGUGGUGUUGUGGUAGACUAUCCACCUGACCCGUCUUGAAACACGGACCAAGGAGUUUAACAUGUGCGCGAGUCAUUGGGCUUUACGAAACCCAAAGGCGCAGUGAAGGUAAAGGUUUGGCUUGUCCAGGCUGAGGUGAGAUCCUGUUGUUUUGCUCAUUUAUUCCAAGCUGCGAGCAGCAGGCGCAUCACCGGCCCGUCCCAUGACGUAGACAUGUGGCCUUGUGCUAUGUGCACCGUCGGGGCGGAGCAAGAGCGUACAUGUUGAGACCCGAAAGAUGGUGAACUAUGCUUGCGAAGGUUGAAGCCAGAGGAAACUCUGGUGGAGGACCGUAGCGAUUCUGACGUGCAAAUCGAUCGUAUAACGGAGUAUAGGGGCGAAAGACU
rnacentral:rRNA from 1 species